UCUCCGUUGGUGACCAGCGGAGGGAUCAUUACCGAGUUUACAACUCCCAAACCCAAUGUGAACGUUACCAAACUGUUGCCUCGGCGGGAUCUCUGCCCCGGGUGCGUCGCAGCCCCGGACCAAGGCGCCCGCCGGAGGACCAACCAAAACUCUUAUUGUAUACCCCCUCGCGGGUUUUUUUAUAAUCUGAGCCUUCUCGGCGCCUCUCGUAGGCGUUUCGAAAAUGAAUCAAAACUUUCAACAACGGAUCUCUUGGUUCUGGCAUCGAUGAAGAACGCAGCGAAAUGCGAUAAGUAAUGUGAAUUGCAGAAUUCAGUGAAUCAUCGAAUCUUUGAACGCACAUUGCGCCCGCCAGUAUUCUGGCGGGCAUGCCUGUCCGAGCGUCAUUUCAACCCUCGAACCCCUCCGGGGGGUCGGCGUUGGGGAUCGGCCCUGCCUUGGCGGUGGCCGUCUCCGAAAUACAGUGGCGGUCUCGCCGCAGCCUCUCCUGCGCAGUAGUUUGCACACUCGCAUCGGGAGCGCGGCGCGUCCACAGCCGUUAAACACCCAACUUCUGAAAUGUUGACCUCGGAUCAGGUAGGAAUACCCGCUGAACUUAAGCAUAUCA
rnacentral:rRNA from 1 species